CAGCACGGGAGUAGCAAUACAACUGGUGGCGACCGGCGCACGGGUGAGUAACGCGUAUGCAACCUAUCUAUCAGAGGGGAAUAACCCGGCGAAAGUCGGACUAACAUCGCAUAAAACAGGGGCACCGCAUGGUGCUAUUUGUUAAAGAAAUUCGCUGAUAGAUGGGCAUGCGUUCCAUUAGGUAGUUGGUGAGGUAACGGCUCACCAAGCCGACGAUGGAUAGGGGAACUGAGAGGUUGGUCCCCCACACUGGUACUGAGACACGGACCAGACUCCUACGGGAGGCAGCAGUGAGGAAUAUUGGUCAAUGGGCGAGAGCCUGAACCAGCCAAGUCGCGUGAAGGAAGAAGGAUCUAUGGUUCGUAAACUUCUUUUGCAGGGGAAUAAAGUGCGGGACGUGUCCUGUUUUGUAUGUACCCUGAGAAUAAGGAUCGGCUAACUCCGUGCCAGCAGCCGCGGUAAUACGGAGGAUCCGAGCGUUAUCCGGAUUUAUUGGGUUUAAAGGGUGCGUAGGUGGUUUUAUAAGUCAGCGGUGAAAGUUUGCAGCUUAACUGUAAAAAUGCCGUUGAAACUGUAAGACUUGAGUGUAAAUGAGGUAGGCGGAAUGCGUGGUGUAGCGGUGAAAUGCAUAGAUAUCACGAAGAACUCCGAUUG
rnacentral:rRNA from 1 species